UUGUGCCUCUGCUUCUUUCUCAACACAAGAUCAUAUAAUAGCAUCAGUACUCAGUAUCUGAUCAAGAUCUGCCGAGAUGAUGAGGUUUGUGAUAAGCACAGUAGUGCUAAUGUUGAUGGUCAUGGGGAGCUCUUGUGUGGCCAAAGAUGGCGAAAAGUUGGUGGAGGAGAAGGAAGACAAGGUAUUACUUAGUGCAGACCCCGGUGAUCAUCAUCAUCGCCCGGGGAAGGAAGGCGAGGCAGUACUUAGUGAAGACCCCAGUGAUCAUCAUCAUCAUCGCCCGGGAAGGAAGGCGAGGUAGUACUUAGUGAAGACCCCAGUGAUCAUCAUCGCCCACCCUUAGGUAACGUACGAGGCCAUGCUUAGUGCAUAAUAAAUAUGCUGAAUCUUCUACAGUUCUUUAUUAUAAAAUUUUUGUAGGGUUUAAAGCUUUUAAAACUCUGCAAUGAUUUUAUAAUCAAGAAUUUUAAAAAGACGUGUACUCGGAAUAUGUAUGAAACUAGCUAGACGUACGCAGGCUUAUAUAGCGUUUGUUUAACCUAUAGUUGCUUCGCUUCUUGCUCGUGUCGUAUUUUGAUGAAUUGUGUGUGUGUGUGUGUGUUGUGUGCACGUUGGCUUGGGUUCCUCGAUUCAAGCCAUGAAUAAAACCUGUAAAGAAGAACUAAAGUUGUAGCGAACUACUGUUCCGUCUGGUCAUAUACAUACAUUUGUGUGUUUGUAUAUAAAGACAUGAUUUUGUUGGUUAAUAAAGAAGAUACUGUGGUUAUGACUUGCUU